GUAGUAUAAACGGAGCUUAAUACUUUCAAUGUAAGAAGCUUUUUUGCCGAACUGAACGAAUAAGUGAAGUGUCGCCGAAUUUCAACGAGCAACAACGAAUAGAAUGCAAAUCAUUUAGCAAAAGAAGCCGAGACGAAAAAGUAGUUUAAAGUGAACAUUAAGAAAAAUGAAGUGAACAUAUUAAAAAAGUAUUUGUGCAUCAGCUAACAAUUAGAUUAGUUAAUAAGAUAUUGACUUAAAACAACUCCUAUCUUUUAAAAAAUAUUGUUGUUUAAAAUAUGAUAAUUUAGCGGGAGAAGCGUUACAUCGAUGCUGGAAAGCUUGUACAAAUCGAAUGUUAUUGGAUGUAAGAAACUCAAGCUCUACUACCGAAAUUUUUUUGAAAUGGCCGCAAUACAAAUGCCUAAUUGGCUAUCGUAUGAUUGACAUGGAUUUUUGUUUUUUGCACCAAAACGCUGGUCAAGUUCUUGAAAAUUGCGAACAAAUACAGCCCCAAAUUUUGAACUUCCUUUUAAAUGACAACAAUGUGAAGGAAAAAACCAUAUUGGAAGUGUUGGAAAAAUUGUCAAAUGAAGCAUUAAUAUGCACAAUACCUAACAAUUUUCAAGAUUGAGCUUUACUCUGGGCCCUAAAUGGGUAUUUUGUGCCUUUCCAAAAAGUUGUAAGGAAAUACAAAGAGGAGAAAAAAACGUUUACGAUUUACCAUCAAGGACUCCCAGAAUUCGUUUGUUUAGGUCGGUGCAACGAUCCAAGCAAUCGAAUAUCACAUGGAAUCAUCAAUUGAGACACAAUAUUUUAAAAAUAAAAUGAACGCAAGGACUCAUUUAUUGAUAAAUGAACUUAACUACAAAAAAUAAAAAUUGUAAAAUUAAAUUAA